UGUGUAGGCGGGAAAGCAAGCGUUUUGUGAAAUCCCCCGGCUUAACCGGGGAAUUGCUUGAUGAACUGCUUUUCUUGAGGCAAGUAGGGGUGCACGGAACUCUUGGUGGAGCGGUGGAAUGCGUAGAUAUCAAGAGGAACGCCAGUGGAGAAAUCGGUGCACUGGGCUUGUCCUGACGCUGAGACACGAAAGCGUGGGGAGCGAACGGGAUUAGAUACCCCGGUAGUCCACGCCCUAAACGAUGCCUACUAGGUUGCGGUGGUUCUGACACUAUCACAGCCGAAGCAAAAAGUGCUAAGUAGGCCGCCUGGGGAGUACGGUCGCAAGGCUAAAA
rnacentral:rRNA from 1 species